rnacentral:rRNA from 1 species
AGUGAACGCUGGCGGUAGGCCUAACACAUGCAAGUCGAACGGCAGCACAGUAAGAGCCUGCUCUUACGGGUGGCGAGUGGCGGACGGGUGAGGAAUACAUCGGAAUCUACUUUUUCGUGGGGGAUAACGUAGGGAAACUUACGCUAAUACCGCAUACGACCUACGGGUGAAAGCAGGGGAUCUUCGGACCUUGCGCGAUUGAAUGAGCCGAUGUCGGAUUAGCUAGUUGGCGGGGUAAAGGCCCACCAAGGCGACGAUCCGUAGCUGGUCUGAGAGGAUGAUCAGCUACACUGGAACUGAGACACGGUCCAGACUCCUACGGGAGGCAGCAGUGGGGAAUAUUGGACAAUGGGCGCAAGCCUGAUCCAGCCAUACCGCGUGGGUGAAGAAGGCCUUCGGGUUGUAAAGCCCUUUUGUUGGGAAAGAAAAGCAGCAGGUUAAUACCCCGCUGUUCUGACGGUACCCAAAGAAUAAGCACCGGCUAACUUCGUG